rnacentral:sRNA from 1 species
CCCAACGUCAUGAUGUCAUAGACAGCUGAGGCAGCCAUAUUGAAAUGUGAUGUCAUCAUAACAAGGUAAUUUGAACUUGUGUAUGCAUUGAAAAUGAGAGGUGAGAGAAAAAAGCACAAGUUUGUCUGUGGAAACAGUAUUAGAAAGGGGAGAGUGGGUCACGGCCACUCUAAACAUGAGGUAUUUAAAUCUGUUUGUUUACCACGGUUAACAGCUAAUCAAUUAAACUUAAUUACUAAAGUAUCACCUGACGGUAAGUCGUACACUUUGUCCGGAGCUGAAAAAAGUCUAAGUAAUGUUAAGGUUUUGCGCCCCCGCCCAAGUGAUCCCAACCCUUACUCAAGAGUCACCAGACUCGACAGCCGGGAAAUGAGGGUUGUAGACAAGGGUCUGACCCUUGACAUGAUAAACGACCUGUGUGUAUCACAUGCUAGGUGUAAAUGCCAACUUGCUGAUUUUGAGAUAAAAUCCGAAACUAAGUGGGGGCUAGGCUGGUCAUGGACAUUCGGGUGCAAGAGGUGCAAUUUUAUUUCGAAACCAUAUAAAUUGUAUCAUGAGGUUCCAUCUGAGCACUGUGGCAGGAAAGCUGCAGAAAUGAAUCUAGGUAUACAAACAGGUAUCUACCAGACCCCAUUAGGUAAUGACCAGGCCAGACUUAUUCUGGCAUGUACCGGCAUUCCACCCCCAGCAAGGUCUGCAAUGUAUAAAUCAGGUAAUAAAGUGGGUGAGAAAAUUGUUGAAAUUGCGGAACACGAUAUGAAUGAAAAAUUGAAACAACUUAAGAAAAAGAAUGAAAUGUUAGGUCUUCCAUCCUCGCAUCCAAUCAAUAUUCAAAUGGAUGCCUCUUAUCAAUCAAGGGGUAUCAACAGCAGGCAUAAAAUGGGCCAGGGAGCCUCACAAGUAAUUGGUGUAGCCUGUGAGGAUGAGACAGACCAGCAUAAUGUGAUAAGCUAUCAUAUGCAAAUAAAAAUCCUGCGGAACCAUUGUCCGAAAGGGAGACGGGAUACAAAAUUGGGGAAAAACUGGCAAAACAUGACCUACUGGUUAAAUAUGGGACCACUGAUGGUGAUGCCACCAGUUGUGCGGGGUUAG